ensembl:lincRNA
AGCCAGCAAUGUCACAUCGCCGACCCCAAACACCUCAAGGGUGUCACCACCAGGCUGGGCUUGGGCUGCAUCCCGUGGUGCCCAGGAGCGUGAGUUUCCACCCUGCAGAUGCUGUGCCAGCUGGGCAGGGUGAGGACGAACUAGAGAAGCAGGGGCAGAGCAGGGCCCGGCCCCAAGCCCUGGAUGCCCUCGCAGGUGGGACAGGGUCAGCGUAGCUCUGCGGGGCAGGUGGCCCUGGAUGGAGCCCCAGCCCUGCCCUCAUUAGCGGGGUGCCCUCACGGGAGUGGCCUUGCCUCUGGGUGCCUUGUCUUUUGAGGGGGCAUAAGAGUCUCAUCUGCCUCCUGAGCUCUGCUGAGGAGGAGGAGCCGAGCUGUUUCGUGCGGGCGCUGGCAGGGCCUGGCGUGUGUGCAGCAGGCAUCUUUGCUCCAGGCAGGGUGCGGGGCAACGGGAAUGCGGUGACCCCAGGCUUCUGAGUUGGGAUCAGACGAAAACCUUAGGGGGCUGGUGCCGGGAUGGACCUCAAAGCAGGGGGUGGGGUGGGGGUCAGGGAGCCCUGGAGGGUGGGAGGCCAAGGGAACACCUGACCAGGCACCAAGGCCCCUGCCCUUGGGGACAGCUGGGGAGAGGGUGGAGCGACCCCGGCGUCGAGUGUGGAUAAAGCUGUCAUCCAUCUACCCCAGUCCUGUUUCUGAGGGGCCCUCUCUCCUUCCCCACACCGGUCAGGCCAUGAGCAAGGAGGGGCACCCCACAGGGAAGAGGGGGCCUCUUGCCCGGCAGCUGGGCUGACCUCCAACCUCUGACCCCUGACGGGCUGGAGCACCCCACAUGAACAAGGCACCUGUGCAGCAGAGACCUGAAAAAGAAGCAAAAGAAACCCUCGGGGAGAAGCAGUGCCCCUCCCGUGCAGCUCCUGCCCCCGGCAGGCCUUCUUUCUCCAAAUAGACCAAACAUGCCCUCCUGUCCAUCAUCCUUCCCGUCAUGGCCCUGGCUGCACCUCCGGAUGGACCCAGCCCAAGCCCCGUCACACAGCAGUGGCCCGGUCACCCUUGGAAUGGCGAGCCUGACCCUCCACCGCCAACCUCCUCUGACCUUCCGAGGCCCCUCUGACGCGCACACUGCUGAACUUCGCCAGAACUUGGAGCAUCCCUUUCAAACGGAGGGGCCGGAUCCUGCAGGUGGGUGCUGCGGCUUCUCACCGGGGCUUAGAACUCAAGGUCACUGCAGGUCUCU